GCAACCACCACGGUCGCACCCGCAUCUCUGCUCCAUUCAAUCACAUCGUCCUACGAUGCACACAUCAUAAGUCUGGGAAGUGAUCCUGGUUCAAGAGUUUCUUGGUCAGAUCUGGUCAUUGGGAUCUCAUGGAUGCCAGCAAUGCAUUCAAUCAAUAAACAUAUUUGAUCAUGUCUCAUGUCUUCUCAGACCAGUCAGACUCCCAAGAUGAAGUCAAUAAACUGGAGCACUCCAAUCUAUCUGCCACUUAGGCCCUGAAACCAAGCCCUUCGCUGGCAACUCAUUGGAUGUAGACAUUCAGGUGGAUGCAGCUACUCAACCCUAAAUUGAUUUUUAUGUAAGGAUUCUUGGUAUGUAUUUAGUUUGUAAGCAUCAAUCUUAUUCAAUUUAUACUUGAAUGUUAUCUAUGUAAGUGUUUGAGCCAGAACAUCUUAUGUGGUCAUGAUAUUUGAACCUUACAAAGAUUUUGUCUUGAUUUUGAAUUUUACCGGGGGCUUUCCUAUUUUUAC
rnacentral:rRNA from 1 species